UACGAAGGGGGCUAGCGUUGCUCGGAAUCACUGGGCGUAAAGGGUGCGUAGGCGGGUCUUUAAGUCAGGGGUGAAAUCCUGGAGCUCAACUCCAGAACUGCCUUUGAUACUGAGGAUCUUGAGUUCGGGAGAGGUGAGUGGAACUGCGAGUGUAGAGGUGAAAUUCGUAGAUAUUCGCAAGAACACCAGUGGCGAAGGCGGCUCGCUGGGACGUGACUGACGCUGAGACGCGAAAGCGUGGGGAGCAAACAGG
rnacentral:rRNA from 1 species